rnacentral:rRNA from 1 species
CCCGCUGAACUUAAGCAUAUCAGUAAGCGGAGGAAAAGAAACUAACAAGGAUUCCCACAGUAACGGCGAGUGAAGAGGGAACAGCUCAAAAUGGGAAUCGGCCAUGCCAAGGGGAUGGUUGAAUUGUAGACUAAAGAGGGGGGCCAGUGGGGGAAAGGCGUGGCCAAGAGCUCUGGAAGGGGCCAUCAAGGAGGGUGACAAUCCCGUGGGCCACGCCGGAAGCCAGCCGUGGAAAGACGGGGCCUUGCCUCGACGAGUCGAGUUGUUUGGGAUUGCAGCUCAAAGGGGGUGGUAAACCGCAUCCAAGGCUAAAUAGGGGCAAGAGACCGAUAGCGAACAAGUACCGUGAGGGAAAGAUGAAAAGCACCUUGAAAAGGGAGUGAAAGAGAGCGUGAAAUUGUUAAAAAGGAAGCGAAUGUGGUUAGGACAGAGUGCAUGGGGGAGGGAGCGUGAAGGGGGGGAUGGUGAUGCGGGGAGAGAUGCUCGGCACGGAACCACCCGGAACACGAUCGGAAGCCGUGGACGAAUUGGGACCAUUUGGAGGGGGACUAGAAUGCUUGGGGAAGGUGUCAGUGUGGGGAACCACACGGACCAUAGAGCCGCAAGAGAUGGUCCUCUGGGGAAUGGAGUGAGGCAGUGGGGGAGUGAGGGACGGAACAAGGUGGCAAGAGGGGGAAUCAUGGAGGAUGGGGGAACACUGACUGCAAGCAGAGAGUGUACCGGAUCCACAGGUGACCGCGGGUUCCGGCAUGGAAAGAUGACGGGACCGAACCCACAUGCAGAGAACCGAGUGACGUGACACGACCCGUGCGCAGCCACACGACUCAAGACCGACCACAUACGACCCGUCUUGAAACACGG